GUGAACACGAGCUCUGGCGCGCGCACUGCCCGGCAGUCCGCAGCGCCCGCCCGGAGGGCGAGGGCGCGUUCGCUCUGGGCGCGCUCGGGCCAGGCCCGCCUACCCUGGUUUUGCUUUUCGCUUUCGCUUUGCAGCUUCUCUACAGAGAAACAAAGGGGCCGCGACGACUGGAGAUGCGGCCGCGGUCAGGGGAGCCGAGCGGCCUGAACCCCGGGCCCGGGCCGGCAGGCAAGAUGGCAGCAUGUCCUGGGCCUCCUUGUGAUAUCAAGAAGCUGGACAGCUGAGAAAGAAGAAAAUGGACUCCCUCCUUCUGAAGACUUGCUUGAAAGCCAGCCACGAGAUCAUUGACAUCUGACAUCACCUCUCUGCUAAUGGCAUGUUUGUUGAAUUUUGCCUUCUGCAACAGAAGGCAGCCCUGCGAGAGAGAACAGGAGCCCUGACUGACUAGUCCUCGAGCCUCUCAUCACGGAAGAUCAGAUGCGUUCUUGGUUUUUAAGAACGGGUGACUUUCUCGCAGCCCCAGGCUAUGGACAUUUAUCCUGAGACUACACAAGGCAGUGUGCUAGAGCAUGCAGCCGCUCAGAUGAGAGCAACAUGGAGGUCUCUGGAAUCAAUCCUGAUGACUUAGUGACAGGAGCUUUGUCACAGAGCCAUCUCUGCAGCCCUCAUAAAUGCUUCUUAGAGAGGACAACAGGAGGGCCUAGUGCCAACCUAUAUCUAUGUUUUCUGGUACAGGUGCCCAUGGAAUUUAAAGGAGUGCCUCGGAUCCCCUGGAACUGGAGUUAUAAGCAGUCAAACCUGGGCCCUCUGCAGGAGUAGGAAAUGCUCUUACCUGCUGAGCCAUCUUUCGAGCUCUGACUUGAGGCAUCUCAGUGGAUCGGCUUCUUCAGUAUAUUUGAAACUUCUGGUGCCUGGAUCUCUCCCUGACCCCAAAGAUUCCAAAGAGAUUGAUGUGAGUUAAAAUAAAUAAAUACAAAGUUUGUAUUAAAGGAUGACAUAAACAACAACAAAAAAGCACAAGGCAUAUAUAUAAAUCGAUCUUAUUUCCUCAAGUGAACUCAGCCUUUUGAGUAACCAGCAUUUGAGAUGACUAUCACCAGUAUCCCUUGUUACCAGUCAUAACUGUGGUCUGCGUCAGGCAUGUUAAUGGAGUCACAGCUGGAUACAGCAGCUCCCCCACCCCAAUCCCAGCACUUGGGAGCUAGGAGCAGUAAGAUCACUGUAAACCAGGCUGGCCUCGAACUCAGGAAAUCCACCUGCCUCUGCCUCCCUAGUAAUGGGAUUAAAGGCAUACGCCACCACUACCCAGCUGGUCAGCAUUAUAACAGGAAAAAGUAUCUACUGCAUAGAGAGUUCGAGGUCAGCCUAGGCUCCAUUAGCUCUACCUCAAAAAACAAAACAAACAAACAAACAAACAAGAAACCAUAAUGGAUAAGUCAUUGACUCAAACAGGAUCUAUCUUUUGUUUCUGGCUCCUUCUGCUCCGUGACAAGUUUGUGAGAUGACUCAUCCAAGUUGUUGCCUAUUAUUGUUAUGACUUGUUCAAACAAUUUUUUUUUUAAAGUUUUUGGACAGGGGCUCACCGAGUAACCCAGACCGGAUAUAAACUCACAGAGAUCUAUCUGCCUUUGCCUCCUGAGUGCUGGGAUUAAAAGGCAUGUGCCACCACACCCAGCUGCUUUGUUCAAUCUUAAACCACGAGUUGCACUCAGUGGCUCUCUAUCCCUCAGUUUAUCUGAUCUUUCUACAGCUGAGAGGUGUUACUGGGUGGAUGUUCUGGUGUGGUUGGUCAUCA
ensembl:lncRNA